UACGUUUGUAAUCUUUGUACGUAUUGUCAAAUUGAUAAGUAGUGUACUAAACGGUCAUGCUUGUCAAUACAUAACGGGUUCUUAUCAUUUAAAUUUAAAUUUCGUAGUCUAAUUCGAUACCACCUGCUACAACCUUGUUCAAUCACACAUAUUCCUUACAUUAGGAUUCUUAGUUUAUAUCAUACAUAUUGAGAAGAUGACAAAUUUAAAAGUUCUUCUACUGGUUGUAUCAGCUGUUUGUAUUUCGUAUGUGUUGACAUGCCGUGACAAUUACGCACAAAGUCAUCAUAGUAAAUGUUACUGCCCAUGUGACGAUACCUUUAACCAGUGCGAAACCAACUGUACAACGCUAUACCAUGACAAGCUACACCUGAGCCACUGCCAAAUCAGGUGUACAGAUGGUCUAGCCUGGUGCAUUAAUGCAUGUAAUCACGGAUAAAAAUGUUAACUGUUUUUAUUUCCCAUUCUUUGAAUGUCUGAAUAAAAACUGAUACUACUUUGUUCCCCUUUUUAGGUGAAUAUUUAAUGACAAAAUAAAAUGAUAUGGAGAUGUGGUAUGAUUGCAUA